GAUGAAGAACGCAGCGAAAUGCGAUAAGUAAUGUGAAUUGCAGAAUUCAGUGAAUCAUCGAAUCUUUGAACGCACCUUGCACCCUUUGGCAUUCCGAAGGGUAUGCUCGUUUGAGUGUCAUUGUACUCUCACACUUCCGAUCUUUGGAUUGGGAGCGGUGGACUUGGGUGUUGCUGCUUACUGUGGCUCACCUCAAAUCGAUUCGUGCACCUCUUGGUUGGACAUAGUACGGCGUGAUAAGUGUCUUCGCCGGCACCUCAGUAGAGGGUGGCUGAUCGGGAGCUCUGUGCUUCAAACCGUCCUCGGACAACAACUGACAACUUGACCUCAAAUCGAGUAGGACUACCCGCUGAACUUAAGCAUAUCAAUAAGCGGAUGA
rnacentral:misc_RNA from 1 species